rnacentral:rRNA from 1 species
ACUAAGCGUACACGGUGGAUGCCCUGGCAGUCAGAGGCGAUGAAGGACGUGCUAAUCUGCGAUAAGCGUCGGUAAGGUGAUAUGAACCGUUAUAACCGGCGAUUUCCGAAUGGGGAAACCCAGUGUGAUUCGUCACACUAUCAUUAACUGAAUCCAUAGGUUAAUGAGGCGAACCGGGGGAACUGAAACAUCUAAGUACCCCGAGGAAAAGAAAUCAACCGAGAUUCCCCCAGUAGCGGCGAGCGAACGGGGAGCAGCCCAGAGCCUGAAUCAGUGUGUGUGUUAGUGGAAGCGUCUGGAAAGGCGCGCGAUACAGGGUGACAGCCCCGUACACAAAAAUGCACAUGCUGUGAGCUCGAUGAGUAGGGCGGGACACGUGGUAUCCUGUCUGAAUAUGGGGGGACCAUCCUCCAAGGCUAAAUACUCCUGACUGACCGAUAGUGAACCAGUACCGUGAGGGAAAGGCGAAAAGAACCCCGGCGAGGGGAGUGAAAAAGAACCUGAAACCGUGUACGUACAAGCAGUGGGAGCCUCUUUAUGGGGUGACUGCGUACCUUUUGUAUAAUGGGUCAGCGACUUAUAUUCUGUAGCAAGGUUAACCAAAUAGGGGAGCCGAAGGGAAACCGAGUCUUAACUGGGCGUUAAGUUGCAGGGUAUAGACCCGAAACCCGGUGAUCUAGCCAUGGGCAGGUUGAAGGUUGGGUAACACUAACUGGAGGACCGAACCGACUAAUGUUGAAAAAUUAGCGGAUGACUUGUGGCUGGGGGUGAAAGGCCAAUCAAACCGGGAGAUAGCUGGUUCUCCCCGAAAGCUAUUUAGGUAGCGCCUCGUGAAUUCAUCUCCGGGGGUAGAGCACUGUUUCGGCAAGGGGGUCAUCCCGACUUACCAACCCGAUGCAAACUGCGAAUACCGGAGAAUGUUAUCACGGGAGACACACGGCGGGUGCUAACGUCCGUCGUGAAGAGGGAAACAACCCAGACCGCCAGCUAAGGUCCCAAAGUCAUGGUUAAGUGGGAAACGAUGUGGGAAGGCCCAGACAGCCAGGAUGUUGGCUUAGAAGCAGCCAUCAUUUAAAGAAAGCGUAAUAGCUCACUGGUCGAGUCGGCCUGCGCGGAAGAUGUAACGGGGCUAAACCAUGCACCGAAGCUGCGGCAGCGACGCUUAUGCGUUGUUGGGUAGGGGAGCGUUCUGUAAGCCUGCGAAGGUGUACUGUGAGGUAUGCUGGAGGUAUCAGAAGUGCGAAUGCUGACAUAAGUAACGAUAAAGCGGGUGAAAAGCCCGCUCGCCGGAAGACCAAGGGUUCCUGUCCAACGUUAAUCGGGGCAGGGUGAGUCGACCCCUAAGGCGAGGCCGAAAGGCGUAGUCGAUGGGAAACAGGUUAAUAUUCCUGUACUUGGUGUUACUGCGAAGGGGGGACGGAGAAGGCUAUGUUGGCCGGGCGACGGUUGUCCCGGUUUAAGCGUGUAGGCUGGUUUUCCAGGCAAAUCCGGAAAAUCAAGGCUGAGGCGUGAUGACGAGGCACUACGGUGCUGAAGCAACAAAUGCCCUGCUUCCAGGAAAAGCCUCUAAGCAUCAGGUAACAUCAAAUCGUACCCCAAACCGACACAGGUGGUCAGGUAGAGAAUACCAAGGCGCUUGAGAGAACUCGGGUGAAGGAACUAGGCAAAAUGGUGCCGUAACUUCGGGAGAAGGCACGCUGAUAUGUAGGUGAAGCGACUUGCUCGUGGAGCUGAAAUCAGUCGAAGAUACCAGCUGGCUGCAACUGUUUAUUAAAAACACAGCACUGUGCAAACACGAAAGUGGACGUAUACGGUGUGACGCCUGCCCGGUGCCGGAAGGUUAAUUGAUGGGGUUAGCGGCAACGCGAAGCUCUUGAUCGAAGCCCCGGUAAACGGCGGCCGUAACUAUAACGGUCCUAAGGUAGCGAAAUUCCUUGUCGGGUAAGUUCCGACCUGCACGAAUGGCGUAAUGAUGGCCAGGCUGUCUCCACCCGAGACUCAGUGAAAUUGAACUCGCUGUGAAGAUGCAGUGUACCCGCGGCAAGACGGAAAGACCCCGUGAACCUUUACUAUAGCUUGACACUGAACAUUGAGCCUUGAUGUGUAGGAUAGGUGGGAGGCUUUGAAGUGUGGACGCCAGUCUGCAUGGAGCCGACCUUGAAAUACCACCCUUUAAUGUUUGAUGUUCUAACGUUGGCCCCUUAUCGGGGUUGCGGACAGUGUCUGGUGGGUAGUUUGACUGGGGCGGUCUCCUCCUAAAGAGUAACGGAGGAGCACGAAGGUUGGCUAAUCCUGGUCGGACAUCAGGAGGUUAGUGCAAUGGCAUAAGCCAGCUUGACUGCGAGCGUGACGGCGCGAGCAGGUGCGAAAGCAGGUCAUAGUGAUCCGGUGGUUCUGAAUGGAAGGGCCAUCGCUCAACGGAUAAAAGGUACUCCGGGGAUAACAGGCUGAUACCGCCCAAGAGUUCAUAUCGACGGCGGUGUUUGGCACCUCGAUGUCGGCUCAUCACAUCCUGGGGCUGAAGUAGGUCCCAAGGGUAUGGCUGUUCGCCAUUUAAAGUGGUACGCGAGCUGGGUUUAGAACGUCGUGAGACAGUUCGGUCCCUAUCUGCCGUGGGCGCUGGAGAACUGAGGGGGGCUGCUCCUAGUACGAGAGGACCGGAGUGGACGCAUCACUGGUGUUCGGGUUGUCAUGCCAAUGGCACUGCCCGGUAGCUAAAUGCGGAAGAGAUAAGUGCUGAAAGCAUCUAAGCACGAAACUUGCCCCGAGAUGAGUUCUCCCUGACCCUUUAAGGGUCCUGAAGGAACGUUGAAGACGACGACGUUGAUAGGCCGGGUGUGUAAGCGCAGCGAUGCGUUGAGCUAACCGGUACUAAUGAACCGUGAGGCUUAACC